AACGAACGCUGGCGGCGUGGCUAAGGCAUGCAAGUCGAACGGUACGGUGUAGCAAUAUGCCGUAUAGUGGCGGACGGGUGAGUAAUACAUGGAUAACGUACCUCGGAUUCAGGGAUAACGGCGGGGCAACCCUUUGCGAAAGUGCCGCUAAUACCUGAUGACCCCGCGGAGUCGCAUGGCUCUGCGGGCAAAGUUCCGGCGAUCCGAGAUCGGUCCAUGUCCUAUCAGCUAGUUGGCAGGGUAACGGCCUACCAAGGCAAUGACGGGUAUCGGGUAUGAGAGUACGACCCGACACAUCGGAACUGAGACACUGUCCGGACACCUACGGGUGGCUGCAGCAACGAAUAUUCCGCUAUGGGGGCAACCCUGACGGAGCGACGCCGCGUGCAGGAUGAAGUCCCUCGGGAUGUAAACUGCUUUCAGGGGGAAGAAAUUUUGAUCUACCCCAGAAGAAGCCUCGGCUAACUUCGUGCCAGCAGCCGCGGUAAUACGAAGGAGGUAAGCGUUUG
rnacentral:rRNA from 1 species